AGAGUUUGAUCAUGGCUCAGGACGAACGCUGGCGGCAGGCUUAACACAUGCAAGUCGAGCGCCGUAGCAAUACGGAGCGGCAGACGGGAGAGUAACACGUGGGAACGUACCUUUCGGUUCGGAAUAACCCAGGGAAACUUGGGCUAAUACCGGAUACGCCCGCAAGGGGAAAGAUUUAUCGCCGGAAGAUCGGCCCGCGU
rnacentral:rRNA from 1 species